rfam:Fomitopsis pinicola FP-58527 SS1 unplaced genomic scaffold FOMPIscaffold_78, whole genome shotgun sequence.
ACACUGAUGGUGAAACGGUAUCAUGCUUGCCUUCCAUUAUGAGCUAGUGGCUGGCUCAGGUGCACUUGGGUGAGCAAGCGGCGCGGGUUCGACUCCCGCUCAGUGUA